rnacentral:tRNA from 1 species
GGCGUGGUAGCCAAGUGGUAAGGCACGGGUCUGCAAAACCUGUAUUCGCGGGUUCGAUUCCCGCCCACGCCUCCA